rnacentral:rRNA from 1 species
AAGUCGGAUGGAAUAGACCCGAAACCACAGUGAUCUAUCCAUGCCCAGGUUGAAGCACAGGUAAAAAUGUGUGGAGGACCGAACCAGUGAGCGUUGAAAAGCUUUUGGAUGAGGUGUGGAUAGGGGUGAAAUGCCAAUCGAACGUGGAGAUAGCUGGUUCUCCCCGAAAUAGCUUUAGGGCUAGCCUCAUGGCAAGAGUGCAGGCGGUAGAGCACUGAACAGGGUAGGGGCCUAUCCGGCUACCGAACCUAAUCAAACUACGAAUGGCUGUACUUAUCCAUGGGAGUCAGACUGCGAGUGAUAAGACCCGUAGUCAAGAGGGAAACAGCCCAGACCAACAGCUAAGGUCCCCAAUGCCGUACUAAGUGGUAAAGGAUGUGGAGUUUCGAAAACAACCAGGAUGUUGGCUUAGAAGCAGCCACCAUUAAAAGAGUGCGUAAUAGCUCACUGGUCGAGAGACUCUGCGCCGAAGAUGACCGGGGCUAAAGUACGGAACCGAAGCUUUGGCAUGUAUGAAAAUACAUGGGUAGGGGAGCGUUCCUGCAUGGGCGAAGCCUGACCGGAAGGACAGGUGGACAGGCAGGAAGUGAGAAUGCCGGUAUGAGUAGCGAAAAGAAAGGUGAGAAUCCUUUCCACCGAAAGCCUAAGGGUUCCUGGGCAACGAUCGUCGACCCAGGGUAAGUCGGGACCUAAUCCGAGGCGAAGACGCAUAGGAGAUGGACAACAGGUUGAAAUUCCUGUACCGACGUCGUCUGUUUGAGCGAUGGAGUGACACAAGAAGGAAAGUUCGCAUGCGAUUGGAAGAGCAUGUCUAAGCAGGUAGGUUGAAUACCAGGCAAAUCCGGUAUUCUAAAAGCCGAGAAGUGAUAGGGAGCCUGUAGAGAUACAGGUGAAGGAACCGGGACUCAAUUGUCAAGAAAAGCUUCUAGUGAGGACGACGCCGCCCGUACCAAAACCGACACAGGUAGGCAAGAAGAGAAUUCUAAGGUGCGCGGGAAAACCCUCGUUAAGGAACUCGGCAAAAUGUAUCCGUAACUUCGGGAAAAGGAUAACCCAGAGUACGUGAAGGAAAGAAACAUCCGGAGCGGGAAUGGGUGGCACAAGAGAGGCCCAAGCGACUGUUUACCACAAACACAGGCGUCUGCUAAAGAGAAAUCUGAUGUAUAGAUGCUGACACCUGCCCGGUGCUGGAAGGUUAAGAGGACGUGUUAGCCGUAAGGCGAAGCAGAGAAUUGAAGCCCCAGUAAACGGCGGCCGUAACUAUAACGGUCCUAAGGUAGCGAAAUUCCUUGUCGGGUAAGUUCCGACCCGCACGAAAGGUGUAACGAUUUGGGCACUGUCUCAACGAGGGACCCGGUGAAAUUGAAGUACCUGUGAAGAUGCAGGUUACCCGCGACUGGACAGAAAGACCCCAUGGAGCUUUACUGUAACCUGAGAUUGAAUUUUGGUAGAAGAUGUACAGGAUAGUUGGGAGACGUAGAAGCGCGCACGCCAGUGUACGCAGAGUCGAUGGUGGGAUACCAACCUUGUUUUAUUGAAAUUCUAACGAGAGCCGUAACGAGGCUGCGGACAGUCUCAGGCGGGCAGUUUGACUGGGGCGGUCGCCUCCGAAAGAGCAACGGAGGCGCCCAAAGGUUCCCUCAGCGCGGACGGAAACCGCGCGAAGAGUGUAAAGGCAGAAGGGAGCUUGACUGCGAGACGGACAGGUCGAGCAGG